CCUACGGGAGGCAGCAGUAGGGAAUAUUGCUCAAUGGGGGAAACCCUGAAGCAGCAAAGCCGCGUGGAGGAUGAAGGUUGUCGGAUUGGAAACUCCUUUUGUUAGAGAAGAUAAUGACGGUAUCUAACGAAUAAGCACCGGAUAACUCCGUGCCAGCAGCCGCGGUAAUACGGAGGGUGCAAGCGUUACUCGGAAUCACUGGGCGUAAAGGGCGCGUAGGCGGGUUAGCAAGUCAGAUGUGAAAUCCUAUGGCUUAACCAUAGAACUGCAUUUGAAACUGUUAUUCUAGAGUAUGGGAGAGGUAGGUGGAAUUCGUGGUGUAGCGGUAAAAUCCGUAGAGAUCAAGAGGAAUACUCAUUGCGAAGGCGACCUGCUAGAACAUCACUGACGCUGAUGCGCGAAAGCGUGGGGAGCAAACAGGAUUAGAUACCCCUGUAGUC
rnacentral:rRNA from 1 species